AGCUUGCUCCCUGAUGUUAGCGGCGGACGGGUGAGUAACACGUGGGUAACCUGCCUGUAAGACUGGGAUAACUCCGGGAAACCGGGGCUAAUACCGGAUGGUUGUUUGAACCGCAUGGUUCAAACAUAAAAGGUGGCUUCGGCUACCACUUACAGAUGGACCCGCGGCGCAUUAGCUAGUUGGUGAGGUAACGGCUCACCAAGGCGACGAUGCGUAGCCGACCUGAGAGGGUGAUCGGCCACACUGGGACUGAGACACGGCCCAGACUCCUACGGGAGGCAGCAGUAGGGAAUCUUCCGCAAUGGACGAAAGUCUGACGGAGCAACGCCGCGUGAGUGAUGAAGGUUUUCGGAUCGUAAAGCUCUGUUGUUAGGGAAGAACAAGUACCGUUCGAAUAGGGCGGUACCUUGACGGUACCUAACCAGAAAGCCACGGCUAACUACGUGCCAGCAGCCGCGGUAAUACGUAGGUGGCAAGCGUUGUCCGGAAUUAUUGGGCGUAAAGGGCUCGCAGGCGGUUUCUUAAGUCUGAUGUGAAAGCCCCCGGCUCAACCGGGGAGGGUCAUUGGAAACUGGGGAACUUGAGUGCAGAAGAGGAGAGUGGAAUUCCACGUGUAGCGGUGAAAUGCGUAGAGAUGUGGAGGAACACCAGUGGCGAAGGCGACUCUCUGGUCUGUAACUGACGCUGAGGAGCGAAAGCGUGGGGAGCGAACAGGAUUAGAUACCCUGGUAGUCCACGCCGUAAACGAUGAGUGCUAAGUGUUAGGGGGUUUCCGCCCCUUAGUGCUGCAGCUAACGCAUUAAGCACUCCGCCUGGGGAGUACGGUCGCAAGACUGAAACUCAAAGGAAUUGACGGGGGCCCGCACAAGCGG
rnacentral:rRNA from 1 species